UACAGAGGGUGCGAGCGUUGUUCGGAAUCACUGGGCGUAAAGCGCGCGCAGGCGGGACUUGCAAGUCGGGAGUGAAAGGCCGGGGCUCAACCCCGGAGCUGCUUUCGAGACUGCGGACCUGGAGACCAGUAGGGGUUGGUGGAAUUCCCGGUGUAGCGGUGGAAUGCGUAGAGAUCGGGAAGAACACCGGUGGCGAAGGCGGCCAACUGGGCUGGAUCUGACGCUGAGGCGCGAAAGUGUGGGGAGCAAACAGGAUUAGAUACCCGGGUAGUCCCUGA
rnacentral:rRNA from 1 species